UACGAAGGUCCCAAGCGUUAUCCGGAUUUAUUGGGUUUAAAGGGCGCGUAGGCGGCCACCGCAAGUCGACUGUGAAAUCUCCGGGCUUAACCCGGAAAGGUCAGCCGAUACUGCGGGGCUAGAGUGCAGAAGGGGCAACUGGAAUUCUCGGUGUAGCGGUGAAAUGCGUAGAUAUCGAGAGGAACACCUGCGGCGAAGGCGGGUUGCUGGGCUGACACUGACGCUGAUGCGCGAAAGCUAGGGGAGCGAACGGG
rnacentral:rRNA from 1 species